rnacentral:ncRNA from 1 species
UGAGCCGUAUGAGAGGAAACUCUCACGUACGGUUCUUAGGGGGGAAAGUUGUAGUAAUAUAACUGACCUACCC